rnacentral:rRNA from 1 species
AUGUGGCCAAGCUACUAAGGGCGUAUGGGGGAUGCCUCGGCGCCAGGAGGCGAUGAAGGGCGUGGCAGUCUGCGAUAAGCCCGGGGGAGCUGACAAGCAAGCUUUGAUCCCGGGAUCCCCGAAUGAGCCACGUGCUGAAUCCAUAGGCGCGUGGCGGCGAACCCGGCGAACUGAAACAUCUCAGUAGCCGGAGGAAAAGAAAGAAAACUCGAUUCCCUCAGUAGCGGCGAGCGAAAGGGGAACAGCCCAAACCGUGGGGCUAUGCCCCGCGGGGUUGUAGGGCCCUCCAUAUGGGAGUUACAAAGCGGGCGCUAGCGGAAGUGUCUGGAAAGGCACACCACAGAGGGUGACAGUCCCGUACGCGAAAGCGUGCCGUCUCCCGGAGGGUACCUGAGUAGGUCGGGGCACGUGGAACCCCGACUGAAGCUACGGGGACCAUCCCGUAAGGCUAAAUACUCCCUGGCGACCGAUAGUGAACCAGUAGGGUGACCGAAAGGUGGAAAGAACCCCGGAAGGGGAGGCAUUGAACCUGAAACCAUACGCCUACAAGCGGUCGGAGCGCUAUGGCCUGCGGCAGGCACGGGCGGUCUUCGGAUCGUACCGGCUUGCCGGGUAAGGCAAGGCGUGACGGCGUACCUUUUGCAUAAUGGUCCGGCGAGUUACUGUCGGCGGCGUGGUUAAGGCCUUCAGGGCCGGAGCCGGAGGGAAACCGAGUCCGAAUAGGGCGCUAAGUCGCCGGCAGUAGACGCGAACCUGCGUGAUCUACCCAUGGGCAGGGUGAAGCGCGAGUGAUAUCGCGUGGAGGCCCGAACCCACUAGGGUUGAAAACCUAGGGGAUGACCUGUGGGGAGGAGUGAAAGUCUAAUCAAACGCAGAGAUAGCUCGUUCUCCCCGAAAUAGCUCGAGGGCUAGCCUCGGGUCACUACGCACCGGGGGUAGAGCUACUGAUUUGGCAUGGGGGCCUUCGCCGGCUACCCAGCUGAACCAAACUCCGAAUACCGGUGCGACUAUCCCGGGAGUCAGUCCCUGGGGGAUAAGCUCCAGGGUCGAGAGGGAAACAACCCAGACCGCCUGCUAAGGUCCCCAAGCACGGCUAAGUCACAAAGGAGGUGGGGCUGCGGAGACAGCCAGGAUGUUGGCUUAGAAGCAGCCACCAUUUAAAAAGUGCGUAACAGCUUACUGGCCGAGCAGCCCUGCGCCGAAAAUGAACGGGAGUAAGCCGUGCACCGAAGCAGCGGGUGGUAAGUUGGGAGCCCCCAACUUGCCGCGGUAGGGGAGCGCUGUAGGCCAGAUACGAGCCGGACCGCGAGGACCGGUGGAGGGGCCUACAGGUGAGAAUGCCGGAAUGAGUAACGAUAAAGCAGGUGAGAAUCCUGCUCGCCGAAAGCCUAAGGUUUCCUGGGGAAGGUAAUUCCGCCCAGGGUUAGCCGGUCCCUAAGACGAGGCCGAAAGGCGUAGUCGAUGGACAGCAGGUCAACAUUCCUGCGCCACCCUGAUGGACCGAUGGAGGGACGGCGCGUGCUAGGGUGAGCGGACGGCUAGAAGGGUCCGUGGACCGCUCGCAAGGCUGGGGACAGGCAAAUCCGCCCCACAAAAGCCAAGCGGCGGGACCUACCGCAUUUAGUCGGGAAGUCAUCCGAAGCGCGUCCAAGAAAAGCUCCUAAGGGUUGAAGUCAGGGUGACCGUACUAAAACCGACACAGGUAGGCGAGGCGAGAAGCCUAAGGCGCUCGGGAGAACACUGGUGAAGGAACUCUGCAAAAUGGCCCCGUAACUUCGGGACAAGGGGUGCCCUCGGGGGUCCAAAGCUCCUGGGGGCCGCAGUGAAUCGGCUCCUGCGACUGUUUAUCAAAAACACAGGUCUCUGCUAACUCGCAAGAGGAUGUAUAGAGACUGACGCCUGCCCGGUGCCGGUAGGUUAAGGAAGCCGGUUAGCGGGGAAACCCGCGAAGCUGGCAACCUAAGCCCCGGUAAACGGCGGCCGUAACUAUGACGGUCCUAAGGUAGCGAAGUUCCUUGUCGGGUAAGUUCCGACCUGCAUGAAAGGCGUAACGACAGGAGCGCUGUCUCCACCAGUGGCCCGGUGAAAUUGUAGCCGUGGUGAAGAUGCCACGUACCCGCAGCGUGACGGAAAGACCCCGUGAACCUUUACUGUAGGCUGGUAUUGGGCUGAGGCUUGUCCUGUGUAGGAUAGGUGGGAGGCUGUGAAGCGGGGACGCCAGUUCCCGUGGAGCCGUCGGUGAAAUACCACCCUGGGCUAGCUUUAGUUCUAACGCUGAACCCGCCAACCGGGCAGCGGACAGUGCCAGCUGGGCAGUUUAACUGGGGCGGUUUCCUCCUAAAAGGUAACGGAGGAGUCCAAAGGUACCCUCAGCCCGGUCGGCAAUCGGGCGUUGAGCGCAAAGGCAGACAGGGUGCUUGACUGCGAGACCGAUAGGUCGAGCAGGUGCGAAAGCAGGGCUUAGUGAUCCGGUGGUCCCGGAUGGAAGGGCCAUCGCUCAACAGAUAAAAGGUACUCCGGGGAUAACAGGCUAAUCUCCCCCGAGCGUCCAUAGCGGCGGGGAGGUUUGGCACCUCGAUGUCGGCUCAUCGCAUCCUGGGGGUGAAGAAGCUCCCAAGGGUUCGGCUGUUCGCCGAUGAAAGCGGUACGUGAGCUGGGUUCAGACCGUCGUGAGACAGGUCGGUCCCUAUCUGCUGUGGGCGCACGAGACCUGAGGAGGGUCCUCCUUAGUACGAAAGGACUUGGAGGGACGUCCCUCUGGUGUUCCAGCUGUCGCGCUAGCGGCACGGCUGGGUAGCUAUGGACGGAAAGGAUAAACGCUGAAAGCAUCUAAGCGUGAAGCCCUCUCCAAGAUGAGGUCUCGUAAGUGGCCUCGUGCCACGAGAGCCCCCUGGAAGACUACCAGGUUGAUAGGCCGGGUGUGUAAGCGCAGCAAUGCGCUUAGCUAACCGGUACUAACGGGCGAAUGCUUGGCCACAUGAC